rnacentral:rRNA from 1 species
GAUGAACGCUGGCGGCGUGCCUAAUACAUGCAAGUCGAGCGAAUGGAUUAAGAGCUUGCUCUUAUGAAGUUAGCGGCGGACGGGUGAGUAACACGUGGGUAACCUGCCCAUAAGACUGGGAUAACUCCGGGAAACCGGGGCUAAUACCGGAUAACAUUUUGAACCGCAUGGUUCGAAAUUGAAAGGCGGCUUCGGCUGUCACUUAUGGAUGGCCCCGCGUCGCAUUAGCUAGUUGGGGAGGUAACGGCGCACCAAGGCAACGUUGCGUAGGCGAACUGAGUGGGUGAUCGGCCACACUGGGACUGAGACACGGCCCAGACUCCUACGGGAGGCAGCAGUAGGGAAUCUUCCGCAAUGGACGAAAGUCUGACGGAGCAACGCCGCGUGAGUGAUGAAGGCUUUCGGGUCGUAAAACUCUUUUGUUAGGGAAGAACAAGUGCUAGUUGAAUAAGCUGGCACCUUGACGGUACCUAACCAGAAAGCCACGGCUAACUACGUGCCAGCCGCCGCGGUAA